rnacentral:rRNA from 1 species
CCUACGGGGCGCACCAGUGGGGAAUAUUGCACAAUGGGCGCAAGCCUGAUGCAGCCAUGCCGCGUGUAUGAAGAAGGCCCUCGGGUUGUAAAGUACCUUCAGCGGGGAGGAAGGUGCUGAGGUUAAUAACCUCAGCAAUUGACGUUACCCGCAGAAGAAGCACCGGCUAACUCCGUGCCAGCAGCCGCGGUAAUACGGAGGGUGCAAGCGUUAAUCGGAAUUACUGGGCGUAAAGCGCACGCAGGCGGUCUGUCAAGUCGGAUGUGAAAUCCCCGGGCUUAACCUGGGAACUGCAUUCGAAACUGGCAGGCUAGAGUCUUGUAGAGGGGGGUAGAAUUCCAGGUGUAGCGGUGAAAUGCGUAGAGAUCUGGAGGAAUACCAGUGGCGAAGGCGGCCCCCUGGACAAAGACUGACGCUCAGGUGCGAAAGCGUGGGGAGCAAACAGGAUUAGAUACCCCAGUAGUC